rnacentral:rRNA from 1 species
UACGAGGGGGGCGAGCGUUGUUCGGAAUUACUGGGCGUAAAGGGCGCGUAGGCGGCGACCCAAGUCAGAUGUGAAAGUCCUGGGCUUAACCUGGGGACUGCAUUUGAUACUGGGUUGCUUGAAUUCGGGAGAGGAUAGCGGAAUUCCCAGUGUAGAGGUGAAAUUCGUAGAUAUUGGGAAGAACACCGGUGGCGAAGGCGGCUAUCUGGACCGACAUUGACGCUGAGGCGCGAAAGCGUGGGGAGCAACAGG